rnacentral:rRNA from 1 species
GAUUGAACGCUGGCGGCAUGCCUUACACAUGCAAGUCGAACGGCAGCACGGGAGCAAUCCUGGUGGCGAGUGGCGAACGGGUGAGUAAUACAUCGGAACGUGCCCAGUCGUGGGGGAUAACUACUCGAAAGAGUAGCUAAUACCGCAUACGACCUGAGGGUGAAAGCGGGGGAUCGCAAGACCUCGCGCGAUUGGAGCGGCCGAUGUCAGAUUAGCUAGUUGGUGGGGUAAAGGCCUACCAAGGCUACGAUCUGUAGUUGGUCUGAGAGGACGACCAGCCACACUGGGACUGAGACACGGCCCAGACUCCUACGGGAGGCAGCAGUGGGGAAUUUUGGACAAUGGGCGCAAGCCUGAUCCAGCAAUGCCGCGUGCAGGAAGAAGGCCUUCGGGUUGUAAACUGCUUUUGUCAGGGAAGAAAUCCUCUGGGUUAAUACCUCGGGGGGAUGACGGUACCUGAAGAAUAAGCACCGGCUAACUACGUGCCAGCAGCCGCGGUAAUACGUAGGGUGCGAGCGUUAAUCGGAAUUACUGGGCGUAAAGUGUGCGCAGGCGGCU